GAUGAACGCUGGCGGCGCGCCUAACACAUGCAAGUCGAACGGCACCCCUCCUCGGAGGGAAGCGAGUGGCGAACGGCUGAGUAACACGUGGAGAACCUGCCCCCUCCCCCGGGAUAGCCGCCCGAAAGGACGGGUAAUACCGGAUACCCCGGGGUGCCGCAUGGCACCCCGGCUAAAGCCCCGACGGGAGGGGAUGGCUCCGCGGCCCAUCAGGUAGACGGCGGGGUGACGGCCCACCGUGCCGACAACGGGUAGCCGGGUUGAGAGACCGACCGGCCAGAUUGGGACUGAGACACGGCCCAGACUCCCACGGGAGACAGCAGUGGGGAAUCUUGCGCAAUGGGGGGAACCCUGACGCAGCGACGCCGCGUGCGGGACGGAGGCCUUCGGGUCGUAAACCGCUUUCAGCAGGGAAGAGUCAAGACUGUACCUGCAGAAGAAGCCCCGGCUAACUACGUG
rnacentral:rRNA from 1 species